rnacentral:ncRNA from 1 species
GGGAGGUUUGUCAUAAUUAACGUAAAGCCAAUUCCCUUUGGAGUCAGUGUGAAAGUUAACCACCUUUCCGACCCGUCUUGAAACACGGACCGAGGAGUGUAAUUUAUACGCGAGUCAAGGGGUGGUGAAAACCCUAGGGGCGGAAUGAAAGUAAAGGCCGGUUAACCGGUUGACAUGGGAUCCGCUCUUCGGAGCGGCGCACCAUGGCCCUGUCUUGUCUGCUUGCAGAUGGGCAGCGGUAGAGCGUAUAGUUUGCGACCCGAAAGAUGGUGAACUAUGCUUGAGCAGGACGAAGCCAGAGGAAACUCUGGUGGAAGUCCGUAUCGGUUCUGACGUGCAAAUCGAUCGAUAGACUUGGGUAUAGGGGCGAAAGACUAAUCGAACCGUCUAGUAGCUGGUUCCCUCCGAAGUUUCCCCCAGGAUAGCUGGAGUAGUGGUGCGUGGUUAUAUCCGGUAAAGCGAAUGAUUAGAGGACUUGGGGGCGAAACGAUCUACAACCUAUUCUCAAACUUUCAAUGGGUAUGAUGUCUCGGUUUCUUUAUUGAACUGUUGACAUGAACGUGUGCUCCAAGUGGGCCAUUUUUGGUAAGCAGAACUGGCGCUGUGGGAUGAACCAAACGCUGGGUUAAGGUGCCUAACUUUUCUCUCAUGAGACCCCAUAAAAGGCGUUGGUUGAUAUAGACAGCAGGACGGUGGCCAUGGAAGUCGGUACCCGCUAAGGAGUGUGUAACAACUCACCUGCCGAAUCAACUAGCCCUGAAAAUGGAUGGCGCUUGAGCGAAAGACCUAUACCCGGCCGUUACUGGCUUGUGCGAUGGCUAACGCCUGGCCGUAACGAGUAGGAGGGUCGUGGUGGUUGCGUUGAAGGCUUAGGGCGUAGGCCCGGCUGGAGCUUCCAUCAGUGCAGAUCUCGGUGGUAGUAGACAAAUUAUUUAAGUUCGAUCCUUGAAGACUGAAGUGGGAAGGGUUCCACGUGAACAGUAGUUGAAUGUGGGUCAGUCGAUCCUAAGAUACUGGCUU